UACAAGGAUGCGGAGUGAGGUAUAAUAUUUGGGAAAUUAGGAAAGGUUUUAUCUAUUUCUUCGGUUUCAAACGCACUUAUUUCAAUACCGGAACCCUGAAUUUUUUUGUUCACGUUUGCAAUCACUCGGAUUCUCAAAAGAUGAGAAGCAGGAGAAAAUUGGACCAGAAAUAUAAGUGAAUUUCCAGGGUUUCCAAGACCCGAACUAUGGUCAUCAAAACUGGAGUGUCUGGAGUCAUUAGCCUAGCAAUACGUUUUUCAUAUGAACUGAUAUUUGCUUACAGCUUAA